rnacentral:snRNA from 1 species
CCCCCCUCUCGGCCUUUUGGCUAAGAUCAAGUGUAGUAUCUGUUCUUAUCAGUUUGAUAGUUCUUUUAAUAAAGAGAUAAAAAAUAUUUUUCCAUCUUCACCGGUU